rnacentral:lncRNA from 1 species
GAGGACUUGGAACAGAGCAACUGUGGCUCUGGCAACAACAGGAAAGUACAUUUUAGAUAACCCUUUAUGGUGCAAGCUGUACAGCCAUUUAAGGGCUUUUCUGUGGGGUUGGAGAAGAAGGGCUGUCCAUCAUCCAAUGUCUAUUGCUAUGGGAAGGGUGCAUGUGACUGCAUAGGUCUUUGGCAAAGGCCACGAGCAUCUGAAGGCUGCUCUGAGAAAUGGAUAUGGGCUCACAGUUCCCCACAGGGUGCUGUGCAGAAGUGAGCAAUCUUCCACCGGUCAUCCCAGUGCAUCAUUCAUUAAACAUAAUGCCCUACAGGAAAAUCAAGGCUUUGUGUUUUCCAUACCCCCUCCUGCAUCAGCCCUGACGUCAGCAGUUUGGAACCACGGAAGUUAAAUUCAGGCCAGUGCAGUCUAAUAGCAAAUGGUAAGAAGUCAAGGUAAUGAGAAAAUACCUGCCAUCUGGAGCUAUCAUAAACAUGAAUUUACAUCUGUCCCCAUGAAAUAAAUAAAUAACAGCCCGCAAAACAUUACAAAGUCCCACUCCUGCCACUGCCACCAAAAAUUUUGGCCUCCCCACUUUCUGUGUGGUGGCUCCUGCCGAAAGCCCCAGGGUGACGUGCCUGGGUGUGGGGAGACAUCUGCAAGCGCUGCCUGCUCGGGUGUGAUGGCUGGAGUGCAGGGAUCUGCUCUGCUGCAUCUGCUCGCUCCAGUCCUCGCUCUGAGGGAAAGUUUUCCUCCUGGCUCUGACAGCACCGCAGCCGCUUGGGGAAGCACAUGACUUCCUUGGGAGAUGGUGUUUCUUAUUUGUGUUGCAGGCCUCCAGCAGGCAUGGCACCGAGGCAAUAUUUAUAUCAGUUUUUGUAACAUCAUUGCAGCAGCUGCAAUUUUAGGAACUGAAGUGCUGGCUGGAAGUGGGAGAGAGAGGCACAAAGCACAACAUGCCACAUAGAAAUGUGGAUGCAAGGGAAAAAAAAAAAAAAGGAAAGAAAAGAAAAGAAAAUUGGCAACCAGCCUCCUCCCCCAGAAAGCUCAUUGUGUUUCCCAGUGCCAGGGGUGCUGUUUGCCCUCCAGAUGGUUACCACAGGGCCCAUCUGUGUAAAAGUGAGUCAAUGGCAAUUGCAGCUCAGGAUGUGUGUGAUGGGAUCUGAUCUGUCCCCUCAGGGUGCUUCCACUCCUGGUGGAGUAGGACAGGGGAAGGGGAGUCCUCCAGCCAGGUGGCUUUCUGUGCUACAAGCCAAAGAGUGUUCAGCAAUCUUCUCAUGCCCUUCAGCUGUGAGAAAACAUAGUGCAACACUUGUGUGCAGUUAUGUCUGACAGAGGAGGUGCCACACAGUCUUCAGUUACCUUAGAG